rnacentral:misc_RNA from 1 species
CGGCCGAACGAUACCAAGGCGGCACGACUGUCGCAAAGUACGUCGGGAAGGAACGCACAUCGAUGGCGGAAUAAUCUCGUUUUGUUCGGGUAUUUAUCUGUAUUGACCGUGUUAAGAAUUGCUCGUAAUGUACCAGUGGAGUUUGAACUGAACGUGGUGAUCGUGGACGUUGAACGUUUGAGGUUCGUACUAAAAGCGACCAAAGCUCAACGCGCCCAUCAGGCCCAUUAAAGCCUCCCUGUCCUUGCGCCUAAAGCCCUGACGUGGCUCACGAGUUGGGCGCUGGGCCAGGCUGCGCUACGCCAGACCGUGUUGCUCUGGCAUCUCUCAACGCGACCUAUACCGACUCGGAGGGCGAGGACGGGGUGGAAGACGAGCGCCUGCAGGAGG